rnacentral:tRNA from 1 species
UCCCUGGUGGUUGAAGGCUAGGACUCUGCGCUCCCAGUGCAGGGGGCCUGGGUUCGAUCCCCGGUCAGGGAG